rnacentral:rRNA from 1 species
GAUGAACGCUGGCGGCGUGCCUAAUACAUGCAAGUCGAGCGAACGGACGAGAAGCUUGCUUCUCUGAUGUUAGCGGCGGACGGGUGAGUAAAACGUGGAUAACCUACCUAUAAGACUGGGAUAAAUUCGGGAAACCGGAGCUAAUACCGGAUGAUAUUUUGAACCGCAUGGUUCAAAAGUGAAAGACGGUCUUGCUGUCACUUAUAGAUGGAUCCGCGCUGCAUUAGCUAGUUGGUAAGGUAACGGCUUACCAAGGCAACGAUGCAUAGCCGACCUGAGAGGGUGAUCGGCCACACUGGAACUGAGACACGGUCCAGACUCCUACGGGAGGCAGCAGUAGGGAAUCUUCCGCAAUGGGCGAAAGCCUGACGGAGCAACGCCGCGUGAGUGAUGAAGGUCUUCGGAUCAUAAAACUCUGUUAUUAGGGAAGAACAUAUGUGUAAGUAACUGUGCACAUCUUGACGGUACCUAAUCAGAAAGCCACGGCUAACUACGUG